rnacentral:tRNA from 1 species
GCUCGGGUAGCUCAGAGGCAGAGCAGGGGCGCGCGCCCACAAACCUUGACCCACCGCGCGGGUUCGAGUCCCGCCCCGAGCC